rnacentral:lncRNA from 1 species
UUAUAAGAUCUAUUGACUUGAUUAAAAAUUAUGUACGUUGCUAUUUUCGUUUUUUAGUCGCAUCAAAUUUCCAGUUUUCGGCGAUUUUUCAUCAAAAUCCAAGGUUUUCACCCAAAAUUUUCAAUUUCCUGAUCUUUGCAGUUCAUCAACGUUUACAUAAAUCAUAACUAUAAUAAGAUCUAAUGACUUUCUUAAAAAUUGUGUCCGUUGCUAUUUUUGUUUUUUAGUCACGGCAAAUUUCCAGUUUUCGGCGAUUUUUCAUCAAAAUCCAAGGUUUUCACCCAAAAUUUUCAAUUUCCUGAUCUUUGCAGUUCAUGAACGUUUAAAUAAAUCAUUACUGUAAUAAGAUCUAUUGACUUCAUUAAAAAUUAUGCAAGUUGCUAUUUUUGUUUUUGAGUCACGGCAAAUUACCAGUUUUCAGCGAUUUUUCACAAAAAAUCAAGGUUUUCACCCAAAAUUAACAAUUUCCCUUC